CCCCCCAUGGCUAUGAGUUGCAGGUUUCCCCUUCGGGAGGAGUUUGCGGACUGCCUGUACUCAUCCAGAUCCGAUUCCUCUGGCGGUGCUACUGCGGCGAUCUGUGUUACUCGUGCCAAUUGGGAGGCACCUGGUAGCGGCGGCAGAUGGCGUCGAGAAUGCCCAAUGGGUAAUGGGAAGCCGACGGUCAAGGUAUGUGGCUGGGCGAGCACCCCUCCCAUCUUCGGUAGCGUUGGUGAUCAGACCGGCAGCAGUGACAGGGAGCAAUUUUGCUAGCGUUCUCUGUUUGGAUCUGAACAGAAAAUGUGCUAAAGUUGUAUUUGCCGUACCCUUGGCUGCAGGUUAGAUAAAGGGGUUUUUGACACUUCUUGUUAUAAUCUCAGGCUAAUUAGGUUGUUCCAACAUUGUCUGGUCUUUAGUACUUGACCAAUGAGAGUCCAGUCGUCAUUCCUUUUCCGAGCUAAUUAAGCUUUUGAUCUCAAGAAUGACACUUUCGACAGAUUGGGUCUUAAUUAUUAAUUUUUUGAGAUACUUGUUUGGUAUCCUUUCUGUUGAGAAAAUAAUAUUACAAAGAAGCACAUCGUUUGGUGUUCGCAUCUUAAUUGUCAGAAUUUUUUUAGAUGUGGUUUUCAAGUUAUGGGACAAGUGCUUCUGCCUAGAUGCGCUAGACCAGAAAAAUUGUUGCCUUUCAAAUCUUGACCUAUGUUUGAUUUAACAUGCCGUAGUUUGGCCAUCUUUAUUGUUAUCUAUUGAUGUAAUCAGUUUGUGGAUGCACAUAACUCAUACUUUGUCAUGUCAUGUAGGAAUCUUACUAUCUACUCCUCCUCCUAUAAUAUAAGAGCGUUUUUGACAUCAUUACUGAACUCGAAGCUUUGGAAGUACACCAAAUGUAAAAAGUGAAGUUGUGCUCUUUCUAUUAGAUGUUUGAGUAGUGAUUAGCACGUAAAGAUUUUUUUUUUGUUGGUCUCGAACUCUCGAGACAAGUCCAUUCUUUUUUAAAAUUUAAUAUGUUCUUUUAUAGUUCUCAACUUCUCAUUACAAGUAUGACUAUGUAUCUGGUUAAUUCUGUUUUUCAUUAGUCCGGCAAGAUUUCCAAAAUGUACCCUCUGAUGUUGUUGAUUAUACAGAAUCAUCAAAUCAGGUUAUCAGGCAAUUUCUAGACUCUGAAUGUUCAAAACAUCAGCUCUGAAACAUCAAAGGCGCUAUUUGUUUUACAUAGUUUGGUCGGCAACUGAUUAAAGGGACGGCUUACAAUAAAGAUGAGUGAUGCAAACAUGACAAAGUAUGCUUGCAGGAUGAACUUGGCUUACAAUAAAGGACCGUCAGGGAAAUACGCUUGCAGGAGUGCUGCGUGGGAAAGGAGAAACUGAAUUUAUUGCAAAUUGGGGGGUUCAGAUCAUGCAAUUGGAGGUCAAAGUGCCCCGAAGAAGCGAAGAGGAGUUGGCAGACCGACGGACAGCCAAGAGAAAGCACCGUACGAGGGAUGAGUAAACGGACAAGGUUUUGCAGUAUCUGUCGCCGCGACGGCCACAAAAGAUGAACUUGCCUUGGGCGGGGUGAUGCCCCUAAGCAAUCGCGAAAACCAGGAAAAUUCAACAACGGUGUAAUGGAAGCACACCGCCGGAACACAUGCACAUCAUAACUGCUUCGUUGUCCGCAGAAUCAAAUGUGAAAACUAGAUUUUAAUUGAUGUAUGUUGUGCUAUGAGGACUUCUGGUGUGUUGAGCUUUGCUCCAUGCUUGUUCCUCCACAUCUGAACGUGGGACUAAAGUGUGACAUUGAGUGAACUUGUUUGACGUUGAUCAGUAUCUUCCUCUGUGUGUGUGCUUGUUU